CCUACGGGUGGCAGCAGUAGGGAAUUUUCGGCACUGGGGGGAACCCUGACCGAGCAACGCCGCGUGAACGAAGAAGUUAUUCGUAAUGUAAAGCUCUUUUAACAGGGAAGAAAGCGAUAUGUGACGGUACCUGAAGAAUAAGCUUCGGCAAACUACGUGCCAGCAGCCGCGGUAAACCGUAGGGAGCGAGCGUUAUCCGGAUUUAUGGGGCGAAAGGGGUGCGUAGAGGGCAUGGUAAGUCUUUGGUAAAAGUGCUGGGCUAAACCCGGAAGGGCAACCGAUACUGCAAGGCUAGAGUAUGACAGAGGCAAGUGGAAUUACAGGUGUAGCGGUGAAAUGCGUAGAUAU
rnacentral:rRNA from 1 species